GACGAACGCUGGCGGCGUGCCUAAUACAUGCAAGUUGAGCGCUGAAGGUUGGUACUUGUACCAACUGGAUGAGCAGCGAACGGGUGAGUAACGCGUGGGGAAUCUGCCUUUGAGCGGGGGACAACAUUUGGAAACGAAUGCUAAUACCGCAUAAAAACUUUAAACACAAGUUUUAAGUUUGAAAGAUGCAAUUGCAUCACUCAAAGAUGAUCCCGCGUUGUAUUAGCUAGUUGGUGAGGUAAAGGCUCACCAAGGCGAUGAUACAUAGCCGACCUGAGAGGGUGAUCGGCCACAUUGGGACUGAGACACGGCCCAAACUCCUACGGGAGGCAGCAGUAGGGAAUCUUCGGCAAUGGACGAAGUCUGACCGAGCAACGCCGCGUGAGUGAAGAAGGUUUUCGGAUCGUAAAACUCUGUUGGUAGAGAAGAACGUUGGUGAGAGUGGAAAGCUCAUCAAGUGACGGUAACUACCCAGAAAGGGACGGCUAACUACGUG
rnacentral:rRNA from 1 species